AGCAGCCGCGGUAAUUCCAGCUCCAAUAGCGUAUAUUAAAGUUGUUGCAGUUAAAAAGCUCGUAGUUGAAUUUCGAGAUCAGUACGCUGGUCGUGCCUUCGGUAUGCACUGGUGUCACUGGUUUCUCCCUUCUGAAGAACCGUAAUGCCAUUCAGUUGGUGUGGCGGGGAAUCAGGAUUGUUACUUUGAAAAAAUUAGAGUGUUUAAAGCAGGCUCGCGCUUGAAUACAUUAGCAUGGAAUAAUGAAAUAGGACGUUUGAUCCUAUUUUGUUGGUUUCUAGGAUCGACGUAAUGAUUAAUAGGGAUAGUUGGGGGCAUUAGUAUUCAAUUGUCAGAGGUGAAAUUCUUGGAUUUAUUGAAGACUAACUACUGCGAAAAGCAUUUAGCCAAGGUAUGUUUUCAUUAAAUCAAAGAACGAAAGUUAGGGGAUCGUAAGACGAUCAGAUCCGUCGUAGUCUAACAUAAAUAACUAGCCGACUACGGGUAAUCGGAGUUGAAGUUGUUAAGUUUUUUAAUUAGG
rnacentral:rRNA from 1 species